rnacentral:lncRNA from 1 species
GGACUCGCCGAUUCCGUACAGUGAAUCGGGCGAGUCACUAUACGGAAUCGUCCGGUUCUCUCUAGAACCGGACGAUUUCCGAUUUUUCAACCGAUCCGGUCCCUUAUCGCGAAUUCCGAGUCGAACCGGGCGAGUCCGGUUCGACUCGACGUUUUUUAAAACGCUGCUUUGAAGAUACCGACUCGCUUGUUGCUAGGUGAUGCUUUCGAUGGAGAAUUGAUGCUUAAUCAAGACCAGUGAUUAGAAACACGCCGAGGCAAAUUUGGGACUAGCCGAGGUUAGCCCAGGAUUGGGAGCUUGGCAGUUUUGGAGCGAGUAGCCCUGAUUCUUGGUGACUUCGAAAUUUCCUAGGGAAGCACCAUCGACGAACCCCAAAGUUAAAAUGAAAAUUUCUCAAACUACGUAACACAACUCAAUUUAUUGGAUUUGAAAUUUCAUAGCUAAAAGUGAUUUUGACUUCCAUGUAGCAAAGAUAAAUGGUCUUCCUCGUUUUAAUUACCCUAAUGCGAUGGCUACAUUCCUUUUCUACGCAUAGAACGACAUGCCCCAUUGAUCGUGAGUUUUGAAACACUGAUAGAAAGGGGCUCGAAAAAUCUCGUUCAAAGAAUAAAAGUGGAGCAGUAAACCCCUGGUAAUUACAUGAUAAAACUAGAGUUAUUGCAAAAUGGUGUUGUUUUGAAGAGGGGCCCUAAAGUUGUAGGCAAACACUUCCUAUCCUUAGGGAGUGUGAGGUUAAAAACCUCUUUUCAAACGUGACAGUAAGAAGCACAUAAGUUGCUCUAACUUGGAUCUUAACCUUCUCUCAAAUAGAGGCGCAAAUGUUUACUUGUUUGUAGUUUAGGUAGGGGCAUGACAUGG